AGUUUCUAUUGCCUAUCAAUCCCAUUUAAAGAUAGUGCAUAGGGUAUUCUAAAAUAGCUGUUAAGCAAAGAGAAAAUUGGGCCUGAUAGGGUGAGAAUCACAGCUCUAAUACCUAGAGUGACCUUAUAAUGUAUUGUCCAAAGGAGAUAUUUUUGACAGUGAAAGAGGAGGGUGUUGUUAGUAAUUAUAUCAGGACCAUGGCCUAAACCAGGACUAUCCCAGGCAGCCUGGGACAUAUUUGUACCCCAUCUCUAUUUAAUGCCUUCAUACAAUUCUUUACUUAAUUCUACCAGCCUUUAUUGAGCCUGCUUUCUUUGUCUAGCUGAGUGCCACGUGCUGACAUCACUAAGAUCAAUACAGCAAACUCUGAAAGAUGGACAGAGAGACAGGAGAUGGUCCUUUAUAAUGCAGUGUGAUCUGUGCUGCAAUAGAGUUUUGGAAGCUAGAAGUUCAAAACGAGGUGUUGGCAGCACCAUGCUCUCUCUGAAGAUGCUAGGAAGAAUCUGCUCCAUGCCUUUCCAUUCGCUUCUGGGGUUUCCUGCAAGCCCUGACAUUCCUUGGCUUGUGGAUGCAUCACCCCAGUUUCCGUCCCCAUCAUCACAUGGCCUCCUCUCUGUGUGUGCCUCUGCGUUCCCUCUAUUCUUCUUCUAAGGACACCAACACCAGUCAUAGUGGAUUAAGGGUCCACUCCUAACUAAUUACAUCUGCAACAACCCUAUUUCCAAAUAAAGUCACAUUCUAAGAUUCCUAGGGAGAACAUGAAUUUUUGGGGGUGUGUGGAUACUGUUCAACCUGGGACAUGGAGUAAAUAAAUGGCAAGGAAGAUUACAGAUGACUUUAAGCUAAAGAGGGAGAUAGGGUUAAAUGUAGGACUUUUUUUUUUUUUCCAGGACGGGAG
rnacentral:lncRNA from 1 species